rnacentral:rRNA from 1 species
GAUGAACGCUGGCGGCGUGCCUAAUACAUGCAAGUCGAGCGAACAGACGAGGAGCUUGCUCCUCUGACGUUAGCGGCGGACGGGUGAGUAACACGUGGAUAACCUACCUAUAAGACUGGGAUAACUUCGGGAAACCGGAGCUAAUACCGGAUAAUAUAUUGAACCGCAUGGUUCAAUAGUGAAAGACGGUUUUGCUGUCACUUAUAGAUGGAUCCGCGCCGCAUUAGCUAGUUGGUAAGGUAACGGCUUACCAAGGCAACGAUGCGUAGCCGACCUGAGAGGGUGAUCGGUCACACUGGAACUGAGACACGGUCCAGACUCCUACGGGAGGCAGCAGUAGGGAAUCUUCCGCAAUGGGCGAAAGCCUGACGGAGCAACGCCGCGUGAGUGAUGAAGGUCUUCGGAUCGUAAAACUCUGUUAUUAGGGAAGAACAAAUGUGUAAGUAACUAUGCACGUCCUGACGGUACCUAAUCAGAAAGCCACGGCUAACUACGUG